rnacentral:rRNA from 1 species
CCCUUAGAUGUUCUGGGCCGCACGCGCGCUACACUGACGGAGUCAACGAGUUGUCCUGUAUCGGAAGGUGUGGGUAAUCUUUUGAAACUUCGUCGUGCUGGGGAUAGAUCUUUGCAAUUUUCGAUCUUGAACGAGGAAUUCCUAGUAAGCGUGAUUCAUCAGAUCGCGUUGAUUACGUCCCUGCCCUUUGUACACACCGCCCGUCGCUACUACCGAUUGAAUGGUUUAGUGAGGCCUCGGGACUGGCGCGCUCGAGUAGCAAUACACCUGCGCGCCGGGAACUUGGUCAAACUUGAUCAUUUAGAGGAAGUAAAAGUCGUAACA